UUUGGUCAUUUGACCUAUUUGGGGUCCAGGGAUAAAAUAGAUGAAUGACUCAAACAGACAUAGAAUAUCAUGUCUCAACCCUGCAUAUAACUUCAAAAGGUACAGGUCACCUCAGAGGGUCUCGAAGCUACAGAGGUAAGAGAGGGUAAAGAGAGGGAUUUCUGGUCGCGUUUUGGAUUCCGCUACCCAGGAGCCCUCAGAAGCCCUUGGAGAACUGGCUGAUGUGGUGCGGCCGUUACCAUGGUGACGGGAGUCACACCCCUCCGCCUUGCUUUGAAAAAGCCUCCGGGAGCCCACCAGGCGCUGGGAGGUGAACGUGCUUGUGAGGCAGGAAUAUUAGUCUUAUUCUUUAAAACAAAACAACCAAGCAAACAAAAUACAAAACCCCAAAACCGUGAAGCAUGGAAAAAGAGUGACAAAGUGACAACUUUUAUUCUAUGUGCACAAAGAAUUACAGCUACAGUUCUCAGAAAAGGAGGCCUGCUUUGGACAUGGACAAUAUUGCUGUUCCACUGCAGUUUUUUUGCCUAUGGGACACAGAAUUAGAUGAAAAGAAAAACAUUCUGGAGUGGUGGGUUGGAAAAAGAGCAAGGAUAAAUAUUUACAACAAAAUUGUUAAUAAAAAAGAAGAAUUCAAGU